rnacentral:lncRNA from 1 species
CACGCUUAACUUCCUCUUUCUCUCAAAGGUGUGAAAUGAUGUCAUGAAAAGCUGACCACAGAUGGACACAAAUUAGAUGCAUCGAACUUCUGCUAUUUGUUUCGGAAAAUUAGCUUCACAAUUCUCAACAUCAGUUCAGGGAGGCGACACUGGAAACCACAGAAAGCUGCUGCAGUUUCAGCACUAAAGGAAGUCAAAUGAAGAGAAGUUCCAGAAGAAAAGGAGACGAUAACAUGAUGGUCGCCUUCAAAUGGAUUCAUGCUUUUAUAUUUCUAACAUUCAUGCUUCAAUAUUCAGGUGAGAAUGAGUUCUAAUGAAAACAGAUUUAAAUCUUCCCAACAAAUAGCAGCAUUUUAAUUGUCUAACAAUAAAUGAACAGAAACAAAGAUAUUUUUUUCUACCUGUGAACAGAUUCUUGUUCUUUUUUUCACAGAUGCCAACAGAAAAUAUUUGACUGGACAUCAAGAAGUAACUUUGAGCUGUGAAAACCUGAUAAAGGAUCAGAAGAAUUGUAUCAAUACUUCAUGGCUGUUCAGUGCCAGUAAUACAUCAGCAACAAUCGAGCUGAUUAAUCUUGGACAGAUUAAAUCUGAUAAACCAGGCAGACUGAGUCUAUCUGAGAACUGUUCUCUGACCAUCAAGAACCUCAGAGGUGAAGAUUCAGGUCUUUAUACCUGUCGCCAGUUUAACAGCUCAGGAUCACAAACAGGUCCAGAUGCUGUAAUUGAUCUGUCUGUGGUCCCCAAUCCGUGGUGGCUGUACCUCAUUGCAGCAGUCGCUUUAGUUGUCCUCACCAUCGGUUGCCUCACAGUUUUCAUAUAUAAAUGGAGAAAAGGCACUGGUAAGUUUCAUGAUGUUAAUGAAAUGUCAGUGUAGAAUGAUGUGCAAGUCCACAAUACUCAUUGUUCUAUUUUUAUUGUGUCAGGUGGUGAAACACGCAGGAACGACAACGAGGUGGGAUUUUACCCAGUAAAAGCAACAUUCUGAUGUUUUCUAAUGUGCCUUGGCGUCAUUAUGUUUCCCCGGUUUUAUCUAAAGUGUUCCACUAAGAACCCAACCAGCACCAAGAGCAUAAACCUCAUCUCUGUCCUCUCUUUAAUGCUGUUGUUCCACUGUCGCCUGGGUUGAUUUGGUUCGGGCACUUGAGUCCAGAAGAGUUGAGGAAGAUGCUUUUUUCCUCC